rnacentral:rRNA from 1 species
GAUGAACGCUGGCGGCGUGCCUAAUACAUGCAAGUCGAGCGAACGGACGAGAAGCUUGCUUCUCUGAUGUUAGCGGCGGACGGGUGAGUAACACGUGGAUAACCUACCUAUAAGACUGGGAUAACUUCGGGAAACCGGAGCUAAUACCGGAUGAUAUUUUGAACCGCAUGGUUCAAAAGUGAAAGACGGUCUUGCUGUCACUUAUAGAUGGUUCCGCGCUGCAUUAGCUAGUUGGUAAGGUAACGGCUUACCAAGGCAACGAUGCAUAGCCGACCUGAGAGGGUGGUCGGCCACACUGGAACUGAGACACGGUCCAGACUCCUACGGGAGGCAGCAGUAGGGAAUCUUCCGCAAUGGGCGAAAGCCUGACGGAGCAACGCCGCGUGAGUGAUGAAGGUCUUCGGAUCGUAAAACUCUGUUAUUAGGGAAGAACAUAUGUGUAAGUAACUGUGCACAUCUUGACGGUACCUAAUCAGAAAGCCACGGCUAACUACGUG